AUUAUUUUAGUGUAAUAUAAGCAUAGUUAAUUUCCAAUUAACAGGAAUUAAAAUAAUA
rnacentral:tRNA from 1 species